UACGGAGGAUGCGAGCGUUAUCCGGAUUUAUUGGGUUUAAAGGGUGCGUAGGCGGGUUAUCAAGUCAGCGGUAAAAUCGUGGAGCUCAACUCCAUCCAGCCGUUGAAACUGAUGAUCUUGAGUGGGCGAGAAGUAUGCGGAAUGCGUGGUGUAGCGGUGAAAUGCAUAGAUAUCACGCAGAACUCCGAUUGCGAAGGCAGCGUACCGGCGCCCGACUGACGCUGAAGCACGAAAGCGUGGGUAUCGAACAGG
rnacentral:rRNA from 1 species